rnacentral:lncRNA from 1 species
GGAGAGUAUAAUAUCCACCCUCUGGCAGUAAUCCUAGGGUGCGGGACUCUGUCUCCACCCCACCAGUGAUGUCAGACCCAGCCUCCUGACCUUAAGAGUAGCAGCAGUAAUCUUCCCCACCAUGCAGGGUCUGCUGUCGAGACCAAAACGAUACAAGAGAGGAGAGGAGCAAGCGAGGAACAAAUAGUAACUUUGGAUGGAGAAGUAGGAGUGAGGGGAGACAGCGCCUGGAAAAGAUCUGCUUCUUUUGGAUGGCUUUUGGAACAUCUCAGAGGAGAACUUCUUCAGUGCAUUUCCCCAGCAGAUACAGGGUUAUUGAAAUGGGACAUUAAAGUGAACUGGAGAUGCAGCCGUAUAUUAUCAGUUAAUUUCUUAUUGACCUCACGCCAGAGGAUCACAAUGGUAAGUGAAUUCCCAGCUCAAUCUGUUGGGAAAAAAAAGCAAAAAACCUUUCUGCUUUGAAAAAAAAUUGCAACAGGAAAAAGCAAGUUGGAUCAGAUGAACUAUAAAAUGAAAAAUGAAGGGAAUAGGAGCAGCAGGGAAUUAGUAGGACACUAGAUAGGAGUCUAGGAAGUGGCCAUGAAGACUGAUUGACAAGGAAGAAGGAUCAGUGGGAUGGAGGAAUUACUGGAAGAAGGCAAGGUGUGGGGGGAAAGGAAGCAAGGAAUACACCUCUGGAAAGGAUAUAUGUAGAUGUGUCUAGAUGAAGGUCAACUUCAAUCAGUGUAGUCAGUCACCCAGUUUCAUACAACACAGAAAGAUGGAAUCAGUUUACAUUCCGGACAGGGUGCUGAUGUUUAAAAACAAACAAAUCAAGUGCAAGAGUACUAAACUAUUCACAUAGACAACCCAAAAGAAGACCUAAUAAUCAGUUAGACAUUCAAAUGAAACCAUAGUAGUGCGUUCAUGCUGACAUUGGUGGUUAAAUCUCCUUAUCAUGUCUCUCCUGUGUGCCAAAAAGAAACGUAACGAAGUGCUCAGAAUUCAAAUCUAUUUAAAUUAUUUUAAGGCAGGGAAAGUUCCUGUGUGGGCUGGGUUAUGACUAGGGAGUGGAAUCCAUAGAACAGAGUUUAGUAAAACCAGAUGUGGCCCUCUGAUGAGUGAAAGGGAGUAAACUGAGAGUAAAAUGCUCACAUGCAAGCAAUGAAUUAAUCUUCCUUUAGGCCCCUAUUAAUAAAUGUGUUUUGGUUUUCUUUUCCUCCCCAACUGGCACUUGGUCACCCUGAAAGAAUUCAUUGUUACCAUACUUGUUUGUAACAUUUUACUCCUGGAGUAAUUUAACUGUUCCAGGCUCACAGUGACCCGGGGGAUUGAGUUAGUAGUGCUUGAAUCAGAAUUAACUGUGAGUUUGAGAAGUUGAACAAAUUGGUUAAACCCAACAGCCACAAUAAAAAUGACCACUGAUUCUGGCUGGAAAAGGCUUGAAAAGUCAAUUAAAUUAUGCAUGUAGAGAAUUUCCAGUUUUAUAAAACUACUGGUUUAUGGACCCAUAAUUUACUACCGAACAUCAA